GACGAACGCUGGCGGCGUGCUUAACACAUGCAAGUCGAACGGAAAGGCCCUGCUUUUGUGGGGUGCUCGAGUGGCGAACGGGUGAGUAACACGUGAGUAACCUGCCCUUGACUUUGGGAUAACUUCAGGAAACUGGGGCUCAUACCGCAUAGGAGCUCCUGCUGCAUGGUGGGGGUUGGAAAGUUUCGGCGGUUGGGGAUGGACUCGCGGCUUAUCCGCUUGUUGGUGGGGUAGUGGCUUACCAAGGCUUGGACGGGUAGCCGGCCUGAGAGGGUGACCGGCCACAUUGGGACUGAGAUACGGCACAGACUCCAACGGGAGGCAGGAGUGGGGAAUAUUGCACAAUGGGCGGAAGCCUGAUGCAGCAACGCCGCGUGCGGGAUGACGGCCAUCGGGUUGUAAACCGCUUUCGCCUGUGACGAAGCGUGAGUGACGGUAAUGGGUAAAGAAGCACCGGCUAACUACGUG
rnacentral:rRNA from 1 species